AAGGCAAGACCGCGAGGUGGAGCAAAUCCCUAAAAGCCAUCCCAGUUCGGAUUGCAGGCUGCAACCCGCCUGUAUGAAGUUGGAAUCGCUAGUAAUCGCGGAUCAGCAUGCCGCGGUGAAUACGUUCCCGGGCCUUGUACACACCGCCCGUCACACCAUGAGAGUCGGGAACACCCGAAGUCCGUAGUCUAACCGCAAGGGGGACGCGGCCGAAGGUGGGUUCGAUAAUUGGGGUGAAGUCGUAACAAGGUACC
rnacentral:rRNA from 1 species